rnacentral:rRNA from 1 species
GACGAACCGUGCAAACGUUAUUCGGAAUCACUGGGCUUAAAGCGCGUGUAGGCGGGCCGGCACGUCGGUCGCUGAAAUCCCCCGGCUCAACCGGGGAAGCGGCGCCGAUACGACCGGCCUGGAGGGGCGUAGGGGGACCUGGAACUUCCGGUGGAGCGGUGAAAUGCGUUGAGAUCGGAAGGAACGCCCGUGGCGAAAGCGGGUCUCUGGGCCGAUACUGACGCUGAGGAGCGAAAGCAUGGGUAGCGAACAGG